GAGUUUGAUCGUGGCUCAGGAUGAACGCUAGCGGCGCGCCUAAUGCAUGCAAGUCGAGCGAUGAGGCACCUUUGGGUGUACAUCAGCGGCAGACGGGUGAGUAACACGUAGGUGACCUACCCCGAAGGACGGGGGAUAACAGGUGGAAACAUCUGCUAAUACCCGAUGGACUCUGAGCGGAAGCGAGGAGUAAAGGCUACGGUGCUUCGGGAGGGCCUGCGGCCUAUCAGCUAGUUGGUAGGGUACGCUACCAAGGCGAAGACGGGUAGGGGUGUGAGAGCACGGCCCCCCACAAUGGGACUGAGACACGGCCCAUACUCCUACGGGAGGCAGCAGCAGGGAUAUUGCGCAAUGGGCGGAAGCCUGACGCAGCGACGCCGCGUGGAUG
rnacentral:rRNA from 1 species